rnacentral:rRNA from 1 species
UACGGAGGGGGCUAGCGUUGUUCGGAAUUACUGGGCGUAAAGCGCGCGUAGGCGGCUUUGCAAGUUAGAGGUGAAAGCCCGGAGCUUAACUCCGGAACUGCCUUUAAAACUGCAUCGCUAGAAUUGUGGAGAGGUGAGUGGAAUUCCGAGUGUAGAGGUGAAAUUCGUAGAUAUUCGGAAGAACACCAGUGGCGAAGGCGACUCACUGGACACAUAUUGACGCUGAGGUGCGAAAGCGUGGGGAGCAAACAGG